GGUUCCUUGUCUACAGAGCCAAUAUCAUCAUUUUUCUCCUUUCCACUGUAGCCAUCUUCUGCACUGAUUAUCCAAGACAUAUGUUUAUCUCUAUACCAUGCCCCAAAAUCUAUGAUGCCCCACUGUCAAAAUAUUAGAGUCCAAAACCUUCACUUGGCAUUCUAAAGGGUGAUUUUUUUUUUUUUAGUCUUCUUUUCCUGUCUUACUGACCCAUCCAUCCAUCACAUAUACUCCCGUUCCCCACCACAGCCACAUAAAUAACCAAACACCUAUCCCAACAUGUUCACAGUGCUGCAAACUCAACAUGCUUUGAACUUUAUUUCUCACUACCACUGUGCAGACAGUUCCUUUGGUGUAGAAGUCCCUGUUUGCACCUCUCCACAGCCCCAUUUUUGUCCACAUCAAACAUAUUAAGGUCAUUUAAAUCUUCCUUUUCAGUGAGAUUCCACAUCCACCAAAUGCCAGACAAGCUCUCAAACCAACCCUCUUGCAAAUAACAACUAUUAACUUUGGAAAAAAUUUAAAACAAACAAACAAAAAACAGCUACCUGAAGGCAUUGAAGAGCAACCAAAAGAAGGAGGAAUCUUAAUUGACUGUUGGAGGAAGGGACUAACAUCUGGAAGCAAUGGAAGUUGAAUUCUGG